rnacentral:lncRNA from 10 species
UAUUUUUUGUAUAGAUGGGGUCCUCUUAUGUUGCCCAGGCUGGUCUCAAAUUCCUAGGCUCAAGUGAUUCCGCCCACCUCUGCCUCCCAAAGUGCUGGGAUUACGGGCAUGAGCCAGCGCAUCUGGCCACCUUAUUUUCUAUUACUGGCUCAAUGUAAUGGCUCCAUCUCAGGAACAGCCAAUGAAAGAGAUGCACAGGACAAGGAGAUGGGACCUCAGUAUGUUGCCGCGGCUGACCUUG